GGUUAAGCGACUAAGCGUACACGGUGGAUGCCCUGGCAGUCAGAGGCGAUGAAGGGCGUGCUAAUCUGCGAUAAGCGCCGGUAAGGUGAUAUGAACCGUUAUAACCGGCGAUACCCGAAUGGGGAAACCCAGUGUGAUUCGUCACACUAUCAUUAACUGAAUCCAUAGGUUAAUGAGGCGAACCGGGGGAACUGAAACAUCUAAGUACCCCGAGGAAAAGAAAUCAACCGAGAUUCCCCCAGUAGCGGCGAGCGAACGGGGAGGAGCCCAGAGCCUGAAUCAGCAUGUGUGUUAGUGGAAGCGUCUGGAAAGGUGCGCGAUACAGGGUGACAGCCCCGUACACAAAAGCGCAUGUGCUGUGAGCUCGAUGAGUAGGGCGGGACACGUGGUAUCCUGUCUGAAUAUGGGGGGACCAUCCUCCAAGGCUAAAUACUCCUGACUGACCGAUAGUGAACCAGUACCGUGAGGGAAAGGCGAAAAGAACCCCGGCGAGGGGAGUGAAAAAGAACCUGAAACCGUGUACGUACAAGCAGUGGGAGCACCCUUCGGGGUGUGACUGCGUACCUUUUGUAUAAUGGGUCAGCGACUUAUAUUCUGUAGCAAGGUUAACCGUAUAGGGGAGCCGGAGGGAAACCGAGUCUUAACCGGGCGUUAAGUUGCAGGGUAUAGACCCGAAACCCGGUGAUCUAGCCAUGGGCAGGUUGAAGGUUGGGUAACACUAACUGGAGGACCGAACCGACUAAUGUUGAAAAAUUAGCGGAUGACCUGUGGCUGGGGGUGAAAGGCCAAUCAAACCGGGAGAUAGCUGGUUCUCCCCGAAAGCUAUUUAGGUAGCGCCUCGUGAAUUCAUCUCCGGGGGUAGAGCACUGUUUCGGCUAGGGGGCCAUCCCGGCUUACCAACCCGAUGCAAACUGCGAAUACCGGAGAAUGUUAUCACGGGAGACACACGGCGGGUGCUAACGUCCGUCGUGAAGAGGGAAACAACCCAGACCGCCAGCUAAGGUCCCAAAGUCAUGGUUAAGUGGGAAACGAUGUGGGAAGGCCCAGACAGCCAGGAUGUUGGCUUAGAAGCAGCCAUCAUUUAAAGAAAGCGUAAUAGCUCACUGGUCGAGUCGGCCUGCGCGGAAGAUGUAACGGGGCUAAACCAUGCACCGAAGCUGCGGCAGCGAACGUAUCACCCAAGACAACUUUACGGAGUUGACGAUUGACGGAGCGAAGCGACGUCAAAGCGUUCAUUAAAGUCGAGUUGGCUUAGGGAUACGUUCGUUGGGUAGGGGAGCGUUCUGUAAGCCUGUGAAGGUGUGUCGUGAGGCAUGCUGGAGGUAUCAGAAGUGCGAAUGCUGACAUAAGUAACGAUAAAGCGGGUGAAAAGCCCGCUCGCCGGAAGACCAAGGGUUCCUGUCCAACGUUAAUCGGGGCAGGGUGAGUCGACCCCUAAGGCGAGGCCGAAAGGCGUAGUCGAUGGGAAACGGGUUAAUAUUCCCGUACUUGGUGUUACUGCGAAGGGGGGACGGAGAAGGCUAUGUUGGCCGGGCGACGGUUGUCCCGGUUUAAGCGUGUAGGUGUGUGUUCCAGGUAAAUCCGGUUCACUUUAACACUGAGGCGUGACGACGAGGCACUACGGUGCUGAAGCAACAAAUGCCCUGCUUCCAGGAAAAGCCUCUAAGCAUCAGGUAACACGAAAUCGUACCCCAAACCGACACAGGUGGUCAGGUAGAGAAUACCAAGGCGCUUGAGAGAACUCGGGUGAAGGAACUAGGCAAAAUGGUGCCGUAACUUCGGGAGAAGGCACGCUGACACGUAGGUGAAGUGAUUUACUCAUGGAGCUGAAGUCAGUCGAAGAUACCAGCUGGCUGCAACUGUUUAUUAAAAACACAGCACUGUGCAAACACGAAAGUGGACGUAUACGGUGUGACGCCUGCCCGGUGCCGGAAGGUUAAUUGAUGGGGUCAGCGCAAGCGAAGCUCCUGAUCGAAGCCCCGGUAAACGGCGGCCGUAACUAUAACGGUCCUAAGGUAGCGAAAUUCCUUGUCGGGUAAGUUCCGACCUGCACGAAUGGCGUAAUGAUGGCCAGGCUGUCUCCACCCGAGACUCAGUGAAAUUGAACUCGCUGUGAAGAUGCAGUGUACCCGCGGCAAGACGGAAAGACCCCGUGAACCUUUACUAUAGCUUGACACUGAACAUUGAGCCUUGAUGUGUAGGAUAGGUGGGAGGCUUUGAAGUGUGGACGCCAGUCUGCAUGGAGCCGACCUUGAAAUACCACCCUUUAAUGUUUGAUGUUCUAACGUGGACCCGUAAUCCGGGUUGCGGACAGUGUCUGGUGGGUAGUUUGACUGGGGCGGUCUCCUCCUAAAGAGUAACGGAGGAGCACGAAGGUUGGCUAAUCCUGGUCGGACAUCAGGAGGUUAGUGCAAUGGCAUAAGCCAGCUUGACUGCGAGCGUGACGGCGCGAGCAGGUGCGAAAGCAGGUCAUAGUGAUCCGGUGGUUCUGAAUGGAAGGGCCAUCGCUCAACGGAUAAAAGGUACUCCGGGGAUAACAGGCUGAUACCGCCCAAGAGUUCAUAUCGACGGCGGUGUUUGGCACCUCGAUGUCGGCUCAUCACAUCCUGGGGCUGAAGUAGGUCCCAAGGGUAUGGCUGUUCGCCAUUUAAAGUGGUACGCGAGCUGGGUUUAGAACGUCGUGAGACAGUUCGGUCCCUAUCUGCCGUGGGCGCUGGAGAACUGAGGGGGGCUGCUCCUAGUACGAGAGGACCGGAGUGGACGCAUCACUGGUGUUCGGGUUGUCAUGCCAAUGGCACUGCCCGGUAGCUAAAUGCGGAAGAGAUAAGUGCUGAAAGCAUCUAAGCACGAAACUUGCCCCGAGAUGAGUUCUCCCUGAGACUUAGAGUCUCCUGAAGGAACGUUGAAGACGACGACGUUGAUAGGCCGGGUGUGUAAGCGCAGCGAUGCGUUGAGCUAACCGGUACUAAUGAACCGUGAGGCUUAACCUU
rnacentral:rRNA from 2 species